AGCAUAUCAAUAAGCGGAGGAAAAGAA
rnacentral:snRNA from 1 species